rnacentral:rRNA from 1 species
CUACGGGACGCUGCAGUGGGGAAUAUUGGACAAUGGGGGCAACCCUGAUCCAGCCAUGCCGCGUGUGUGAAGAAGGCCUUUUGGUUGUAAAGCACUUUAAGCGAGGAGGAGGCUACUGGUACUAAUAUUACCAGCUAGUGGACGUUACUCGCAGAAUAAGCACCGGCUAACUCUGUGCCAGCAGCCGCGGUAAUACAGAGGGUGCGAGCGUUAAUCGGAAUUACUGGGCGUAAAGCGCGCGUAGGCGGUUUGUUAAGUCGGAUGUGAAAUCCCCGGGCUCAACCUGGGAAUUGGAUUCGAUACUGGCAAGCUAGAGUAUGGGAGAGGAAGGUAGAAUUCCAGGUGUAGCGGUGAAAUGCGUAGAGAUCUGGAGGAAUACCGAUGGCGAAGGCAGCCUUCUGGCCUAAUACUGACGCUGAGGUGCGAAAGCAUGGGGAGCAAACAGGAUUAGAUACCCCAGUAGUC